rnacentral:rRNA from 1 species
UACGUAGGGUGCAAGCGUUAAUCGGAAUUACUGGGCGUAAAGCGUGCGCAGGCGGUGAUGUAAGACAGAUGUGAAAUCCCCGGGCUCAACCUGGGAACUGCAUUUGUGACUGCAUCGCUAGAGUACGGCAGAGGGGGAUGGAAUUCCGCGUGUAGCAGUGAAAUGCGUAGAUAUGCGGAGGAACACCGAUGGCGAAGGCAUCCCCUGGGCCUGUACUGACGCUCAUGCACGAAAGCGUGGGGAGCAACAGG